UUCCUAUGAUGAUGUUUAAAAAGACAAGCAUAUGUCUGAUUUAUUAUGAUGAAUAAUUUUAUUUUCUGAGGAA
rfam:Tetranychus urticae London genomic scaffold, scaffold_29